rnacentral:rRNA from 1 species
CCAUGUGAGUCGUUGCAGCAAUGCAAGGCAGACGGCUCAGUAACACGUAGUCAACCUAACCUAUGGACGGGGAUAACCUCGGGAAACUGAGAAUAAUGCCCGAUAGAACAUUAUGCCUGGAAUGGUUUAUGUUUCAAAUGAUUUAUCGCCAUAGGAUGGGACUGCGGCCUAUCAGUUUGUUGGUGAGGUAAUGGCCCACCAAGACUAUUACAGGUACGGGCUCUGAGAGGAGCAGCCCGGAGAUGGGUACUGAGACACGGACCCAGGCCCUAUGGGGCGCAGCAGGCGAGAAAACUUUGCAAUGUGCGAAAGCACGACAAGGUUAAUCCGAGUGGUUUCUGCUAAAGAAACCUUUUGUCAGUCCUAGAAACACUAACGAAUAAGGGGUGGGCAAGUUCUGGUGUCAGCCGCCGCGGUAAAACCAGCACCUCAAGUGGUCAGGAUGAUUAUUGGGCCUAAAGCAUCCGUAGCUCGUUUUGUAAGUUUUCGGUUAAAUCCAUGCGCUUAACGUAUGGGCUGCCGGGAAUACUGCAUAACUAGGAAGUGGGAGAGGUAGACGGUACUCGGUAGGAAGGGGUAAAAUCCUUUGAUCUACUGAUGACCACCUGUGGCGAAGGCGGUCUACCAGAACACGUUCGACGGUGAGGGAUGAAAGCUGGGGGAGCAAACCGGAUUAGAUACCCGGGUAGUCCCAGCUGUAAACUAUGCAAACUCAGUGAUGCAUUGGCUUGUGGCCAAUGCAGUGCUGCAGGGAAGCCGUUAAGUUUGCCGCCUGGGAAGUACGUACGCAAGU